rnacentral:snRNA from 14 species
AUACUUAGCUGGCAGAAAGGAGACCAAGAUCGUGAAGGUGUCUUUCCCAGGACAAGGCUCAGCCAUUGCUGACCCCUGAGACUUCCCCAAAUGUAGAAAACUUGACUUGUAGUUGGGGAUUAUGUUCAUGUUCUCCUC